rnacentral:rRNA from 1 species
AUUGAACGCUGGCGGCAGGCCUAACACAUGCAAGUCGAGCGGAUGAAUGGAGCUUGCUCCUGGAUUCAGCGGCGGACGGGUGAGUAAUGCCUAUGAAUCUGCCUGGUAGUGGGGGAUAACGUCCGGAAACGGGCGCUAAUACCGCAUACGUCCUGAGGGAGAAAGUGGGGGAUCUUCGGACCUCACGCUAUCAGAUGAGCCUAGGUCGGAUUAGCUAGUUGGUGGGGUAAAGGCCUACCAAGGCGACGAUCCGUAACUGGUCUGAGAGGAUGAUCAGUCACACUGGAACUGAGAGACGGUCCAGACUCCUAAGGGAGGCAGAAGUGGGGAAUAUUGGACAAUGGGCGAAAGCCUGAUACAGCCAGGCCGCGUGUGUGAAGAAGGUCUUCGGAUUGUAAAGCACUUUAAGUUGGGAGGAAGGGCAGUAAGUUAAUACCUUGCUGUUUUGACGUUACCAACAGAAUAAGCAACGGCUAACUUCGUG